rnacentral:rRNA from 1 species
UAAAACGUAGGAGGCAAGCGUUAUCCGGAUUUACUGGGCGUAAAGGGCGUGCAGGUGGUUACAUAAGUGGUGCGUGAAAGCGCUCGGCUCAACCGGGCGAGUGCGUGCCAAACUGUGUGACUAGAAACAGGCAGAGGAAAGUGGAAUUCGGGGUGUAGUGGUGAAAUGCGUAGAGAUCCCGAGGAACUCCUGUGGCGAAGGCGACUUUCUGGGCCUGCUUUGACACUCAGACGCGAAAGCAUGGGGAGCGAACGGGAUUAGAAACCCCGGUAGUCCAUGCCGUAAACGAUGUCCACUGGGCGUUUGCCUCGCAAGAGGUGAGUGCCGCAGCUAACGCGCUAAGUGGACCGCCUGGGGAGUACGACCGCAAGGUUA